rfam:Capsicum annuum cultivar Zunla-1 chromosome 6, whole genome shotgun sequence
GACUCUUGGCUAACAGAUAUCUCGGCUCUUGCUUCGUUGAGGAACAUUGCGAAAUGACAUACUUGGUAUGAAUUGCAGAAUCCUGCGAAUCAUUGAGUCUUUGAACACAGGUUGUGCCUAAAGCCAUGAGGCCGAGGGUACGUCUGUCUGCGUUACC